GAUGAACGCUAGCUACAGGCUUAACACAUGCAAGUCGCGGGGCAGCAUGGGGGUUGCUUGCAAUCCCCGAUGGCGACCGGCGCACGGGUGAGUAACGCGUAUCCAACCUGCCCUUCACCACGGGAUAACCCGGCGAAAGUCGGACUAAUACCGUAUGUUGUCCAUUGACGGCAUCCGAUUUGGACGAAAGGUUUGGCGGUGAAGGAUGGGGAUGCGUCCGAUUAGCUGGACGGCGGGGUGACGGCCCACCGUGGCGACGAUCGGUAGGGGUUCUGAGAGGAAGGUCCCCCACACGGGAACUGAGACACGGUCCAGACUCCUACGGGAGGCAGCAGUGAGGAAUAUUGGUCAAUGGGCGUAAGCCUGAACCAGCCAAGUAGCGUGCAGGAUGACGGCCCUAGGGGUUGUAAACUGCUUUUAUGCGGGGAUAAAGUGGCCCACGUGUGGGUUUUUGCAGGUACCGCAUGAAUAAGGACCGGCUAAUUCCGUG
rnacentral:rRNA from 1 species